AGUUGACAGAAAACGGCGUAAAGAGUGGUUAAGGAAAAUAAUAAACUAAAGCCGAAGGCUCUCAAUACUGUUAUACGCUAGCGAGAGUACGAAGCCCUACAACGAAAGUGGCUUUAUUUUACCUGAUCCCACGAAAGCUAAGACACAAACUGGGAUUAGAUACCCCACUAUGCUUAGCCGUAAACAUAGAUAGUUUACUACGCAUACUAUCCGCCUGGGGACUACGAGCAAUAGCUUAAAACCCAAAGGACUUGACGGUGCUUUAGACCCCCCUAGAGGAGCCUGUCCUGGAACCGAUAAUCCACGUUAAACCUUACCUUUUCUUGCUAAUCCCGCCUAUAUACCGCCGUCGUCAGCUUACCCUCUAAGGGUUUAAUAGUAAGCACAAUUGGCACAGCCCAAAACGCCAGGUCGAGGUGUAGCGUAUGAAGAGGGAUGAGAUGGGCUACAUUCCAUAGAACAAUGAAUACGGAUGGUGGCCUGAAAUACCCACCUGAAGGAGGAUUUAGCAGUAAGAGGAGGACAGAAUACUCCCCUGAAAUAGGCCCUGAAGCGCGUACACACCGCCCGUCACUCUCCCCGAAAAUAAGUAAAUUCUAUAUAAGCCCAGCCUAAAAAUAGA
rnacentral:rRNA from 1 species